CCUACGGGGUGCAGCAGUGAGGAAUAUUGGUCAAUGGACGAGAGUCUGAACCAGCCAAGUAGCGUGAAGGAUGACUGCCCUAUGGGUUGUAAACUUCUUUUAUAUGGGAAUAAAACGUUCCACGUGUGGGAUUUUGUAUGUACCAUAUGAAUAAGGAUCGGCUAACUCCGUGCCAGCAGCCGCGGUAAUACGGAGGAUCCGAGCGUUAUCCGGAUUUAUUGGGUUUAAAGGGAGCGUAGGUGGAUUGUUAAGUCAGUUGUGAAAGUUUGCGGCUCAACCGUAAAAUUGCAGUUGAAACUGGCAGUAUUGAGUACAGGAGAGGUGGGCGGAAUUCGUGGGGUAGCGGUGAAAUGUUUAGAUAUAACGAAGAAAUCCGAUUGCGAAGGCAGUUCACGGGACUGCAACUGACACUGAGGCUCGAAAGUGGGGGUAUCAAACAGGAUUAGAGACCCGGGUAGUC
rnacentral:rRNA from 1 species